UGAGAAUGGGGGUAAGGAAGAGAAGGAUUACAUUUCUGCCUGUUUCACUACCCCCAGGUGAGGAGAAGUAUUCAGUUUGGGGAUCUAAGUUUUUCGCUCAUUUAACCCCAAUACACGUGUAACCUCUGCCACACACACUCACAGCCCUCCCCAUAGAGCUGGUGGCAACUGGUUAACCACUAGCUCUAUGCUUUAACCUCAAAGCUGAAGAUGUGUCAGAAAUGUGGUUGUUGUUAGCAAAUGCCUUAACUCUGCUAUUGUCAUUGCUAGAUUAAGUGAUAAAACCGUCAAUGGCCAUGUGUUCAGUUUGAACACUUCUCUCUCUUUCUUCAUACUUGAAAGCCCUCUCAACUAUGCUUUAUUGUUUCUUUCCUUAGUGCAACCACUGGAAAAAUCUGACAAAGUAUAAUUUAAGUGAAUUAUUUCACACUGCUUUUAAAUUAUAGGUGUGAAUUUUAUAGCAUCUUUCAACACUAAUGAAGCGAGUUUCAAAACUUCAAAUUAACAGAUUUUUUUCUGCGAUCAAAGAAAAUACACUUUUAAAAACAAAAUCACUUGAAAACAUACUGCCUAAAAAUAAUCUACCAUGCUUUUUUUGGGGGGGUUGGCUGCUUAAAAUACAGUACAGUGGUUAAUUAAUAGUGCUGGAACCAGUUGGCACUGGGUUCCAAACCCAGUGCUGUCAAUUUAAACUAUGACUUCACUUAAGUGACAGCCCUGCUGUGCCUGUUUACCUCGCUAUAAGGCUGAAAUAGGACUGUUAUAAGGUCAAAGCAAGACAAUGCCUGUAGCUUGCUUGGCACAGCACCCGGCAGCAGAGAAGCCCUCAGUCAUCAGCCAUCCACAAGGGUGUUAUUAAUAAUCACUACAGGGGUGUUAUCAAUGUUACUGAUAUUGUUGACAGACAGGUUGAAUGAAGAAGCAGUUACUGAUCAUCUGGUAGUCAGGCAAUUCUGUGAUGGGGGGUCCAGAUUUAACAACCCUGAUGCACUUGGAGUGUGAGAUCCACUAUUAAGCCCCAGUUUGAGGUCAGGAAUUUUACAUUUUCCGCAGGCUCACAUUUUUGGCCAUGGAAAUAGAGAGAAAUUAUCUAUAGAUUUUCCCUACUCUUCUCUUUUUAUCUGCUAAGAGGGUAACCAAAAUUAGAGGGUAAAUCUAGUAACAACAUAGUAUUGCAUAUUUUAAAAGUGUUUGUAAUGUUCCUAAUAUUUUCAAAGCAAAAGUCAGUGGUAAUAAAAACUCUUCUGUAAUGGUUCACAUAAAUAUUUCUCUGGGCAGAGAUGAAGGAGUUGAAGUGCCUAGAAGACAUGCACUUGAGAGAUCCAUAUUGAACACUGUUCAAUCUUCUUGAAAGAGAAAUGACACAGGUCUUGAUGCCAGAUGCUUUGAAAGCACAGUACAUACACACCUGUGAGGCCUGGCUCUACCUCACCAUCUCCAUAUGGAGUCCGGACAAAUCUCCCACCUGCCCAUCUGACUCAGCAUGUCCUGCGGUGACUCUGAGACUGAAACAUGGAAAGUCAUACAUUCCAGAGGAAGUGUUUCCAAGUACCGUUACCAGUACCUACUUCUUGUUUACUAGUGAGUGGACAAACUAAAAUUUCCAAGAUUGUGCCUCCUUCAGACAGUGCCAGGGUUCACCAGAGUACCAGGGACUGUGGAUUUCCUUACUAGUUGAGCUGUAUGUUGGCUCCAUCCCAUUUCUCCCUUCCCCUCUGGAGUGAACAAUCCUCUCCCCUAUUUGAAAUUGUGAUUGUUGGUUUAUCUUGGUCUUUAAUGCAUCUCCCUUUUCUGAGCCUUAUAUUUAUAAUUUAUACUUUCCGAUGGGUGCAUUCUUAAAAUUACUGACACAAGGGCCAGUUCCCAAUAUAGAAAUGUUUGAAGACAGUUUCAUUUUUUCAUUACUAGGAGGAAAGAAAUUAUACUAUUCUUUAUGGGGAAAAAUUUAAUGCCAAGAAUAUAUGAAGUAAUUUACUGAUAAAUUCUGACAGCUACUCUUAAAGUAAAUGUCUUAACAAAACCACCAAAGCUACCUUAGAGAAACUUCUCAAUUAAUUUAUCAAGGCCCCAGGGUCAUCAUUUUUAGGCAAAUUUAAAAUAUGCUAGAAGAAAUGGCUUUUAAUAAGAAGCCCCAUUUGAAGUGAUGAGUCUACUUAACUGUGAAUAUAAGCUGUGUUAAGCCUAGUCUCUUUCUAAAUGAAAAGGAUUUAUGAAGCAAUAGCUGUAAAUAAUAAACAAGAAAUUUUUUUUUUCCAUGAAAAAGCUAAAGGUGUUUAUUUCAAACAAAGAGCUUCUGCCAUCUUGGAUGAAGAACAGGUUUAUCUUUUUCUG